rnacentral:snRNA from 1 species
CAGAUUCUGUUUAUGGUUAUAAA